AUAGGUUCUUCAACUCUGUGUCUCAGAAACUCCAUUUGAAGAGUGCAGGAAGACUAUCUCAUUAGUGAUGGCGCAGUUUAAAGUUCAUGCAUUUUAGAAGCAGUUCAUAGCAUAUUGUAAUUUCCAAGUUGUGUUAACUCUGAACUGUGGGAGGGCCUCCAGGAGGACAGUGUCUUCCUUAACUUCUCAUCUGACAGAGAAUUAGGAAUCACUGACAAGGAAAGCUUGAAUGAUGACUGCAGAGAUUUACUGAUAAUAUAUUUGUGUGAAGUGAGGGAAGAAGAGGUAGAGUACAUGUUCUGUCUGAUAGCAAAGCAAUUACAUCAGCAUGAGUGGAGAUAGCAGUAUAAUCAGGAGAUACAUGGAGAAAUAUGCAGAAAUCAUGUGUAGCUCAAAUGAGAGGAAGUCCUCACUUUCUACAGUAUAGUAUUAAAACUAAGAUACCAUAGAUGUUAGUGAUAUUACUAAUUUAUGUUAGAGAUAACUGAAUUCAGAAAACACUUUUGACAAAUAUGGAUCCUGAUAACCAGGGAAGAAUUUUAUCUAUUUCACUCCAUGGAAGAACUGGAAGACAACCCAUCAUGCUUGGUUCCCAAUAUAACGAACUCAGGCACUAUAUAUGGCUCUACUGAAGAGAAAAAAUGCAUCAGUAACCCACAGAGAAGGUAAUUGAAGACUAUGAGCCCUCUGUUCCCAGAAAUUCCUACAGUACAUUCAGGUAAGCACAUCAAUGUUGCACAGAUUUCAUUACUGAGGUUUUGUUAAAUUCUCCACUAAAUUUCAUCUUCUCACCAGAAAUGUGGUAUUAUACUCAGCCCAGGAUUUCAAUUAUCUGGGUUCAGAAUCAUUUAUUUCAUCCAAGCCCUGUUUCAGCUUUAAACUAAAUGGGUGCUUCUAACACCAUUGUCGCCAUCCACCUGAUUAUGUCAAUUAUCAUUAUCUAGAAGGCUCUGCCACCUCCACCACAUAUAACAUGAAAGUCUGAGCUUUCUAAAAAUUUAUUUUAUUUGGAAGGCAGAAUUAGAGAGAAAGAGAGAGAGAGAGAGAGAGAGAGAAUAUCUUCCAUCUGCUAAUUUACUUCCCAAAUGGCUGCAAUGGUGCCAAGAGCUUCAUCCAGACCUCCACUAUGGAUGCAGAGGCCCAAGCAUUAGGACCAUCUUCUACUGCUUUCUCAGGCAUAUUAUCAGGGAGCUGAAUUGGCACCCAUAUGGAAUACCGGCAAUUCAGGCUGUGGCUUAACCUGCUGUGUCACCACAAUUCCAGGCCAACUCAUUGAAUGUUAACGGAGGAGAGAACUUCCACUUUGAUUAUGGCCUUGUCUAAAUAAGUCGGAGUUCGUGAACUCAAGAGGCUUCCAUAGCCUUGGCAGAUAAUUUCAAGAGCCUCGGGUGAUUACUGACAUCAUAAAUAAGAGUGUCAAUUGUUAAAUUAACAACAGGAGUCACUGUGCACUUACUUCCCAUGUAGGAUCUCUGUCCUUAAUGUGUUGUACUAUGAGAAUUAGUGGUAAAAUUAGUCUUCAAACAGUACUUUAUACUUUGUGUGU